AUUUCUUUUGUAAUUUUGCAAUAAAAAAAAAAAAAAAAAAAAAAAAUCUGUUCUUAUCAGUUUAAUAUCUGAUACGUCCCCCAUCGGGGGACCACAUAUUAAACGGAUUUUUGGAACAGGGAGCUGGAUCAGGAGCUU
rnacentral:snRNA from 1 species